rnacentral:rRNA from 1 species
ACGGGAGGCAGCAGUGAGGAAUAUUGGUCAAUGGACGGAAGUCUGAACCAGCCAAGUCGCGUGAGGGAUGAAGGCCCUAUGGAUUGUAAACCUCUUUUGUCGGGGAGUAAUGUGCGGGACGUGUCCUGUAUUGAGAGUACCCGAAGAAAAAGCAUCGGCUAACUCCGUGCCAGCAGCCGCGGUAAUACGGAGGAUGCGAGCGUUAUCCGGAUUUAUUGGGUUUAAAGGGUGCGCAGGCGGCGCGUCAAGUCAGCGGUUAAAUCCCGAGGCUCAACCUCGGUUCGCCGUUGAAACUGUCGUGCUCGAGUUCGUGCGAGGAGAGCGGAAUGCGUGGUGUAGCGGUGAAAUGCAUAGAUAUCACGCAGAACGCCGAUUGCGAAGGCAGCCCUCCAGCACUGGACUGACGCUGAGGCACGAAAGCGGGGGUAUCGAACAGGAUUAGAUACCCUGGUA